GUUAUAGUUUAUUUGAUGGUCUUUACUACAUGGAUAACCGUGGUAAUUCUAUGGCUAAUACAUGCGCACUCGCCUCUCCCUCUGGGAGGGCUGUGUUUAUUAGAUACAGAACCAACCCACCUUCUGGUGGUCCUCAGGUGAUUCAUAGUAACCGAACGGAUCGCGUUAUGACUUCGGUCGGCGACGGAUCAUUCAAGUUUCUGACCUAUCAGCUUUCGACGGUACUGUAUUGGA
rnacentral:rRNA from 13 species